CAGGUAAUCUGAGCGACAGAUAAUAAAUUCAUGGUAAGUGAGGGAACAUGGUAAACAUCAGAAACCCUUAAUUUAUUAAAAGGGACAGAAGUAAGAGAUAUAGAGCCCAUUUUUUAAAAUUUCAUAGUGACUUCAUCAGCAGUAUAGAUAGUAUAAAAAAAAGACUUGUAAUAAACUAGGAUUGACUCAUUGGAGGUCAUAUGAUGAGAGGCUCUUGAGUCGAUCAGCCAAGAGGUAGAAACAAAGUUACUUGAGAAAGAUGGCAUGGUUUAGAGGCAAGAUGUGAUAGGGAAAGCAUAGACUGCACUUGUUCAAGUGUAAAUGUCACAGUUAGUGAAAUAGGAG
rnacentral:lncRNA from 1 species